GUACUGAUAAAAGGUGAAAUUAAUUUUUUAGUGUGUGGAGGCAUGAAGAUAAAGUUUGAAUUGAAGCUAUUAAGAUAUAGGAAUGAACCAGGAUUAGAUACCCUGUUACACUGUAUUUAAAUGAUGAUUACCUGGGUACUAAGCAGUUAUUAUCUUGAAACUCAAAGGAUUUGGCGGUAACUUAGUCUAUUUAGAGGAACCUGUCCUGUAAUCGAUAGUCCACGUAAUAUCUUACUUUGUCUUGUAGAAAACAGUUUGUAUACCGUCAUUAUUAGAUAACUUUCAAAAAAUAUAAAGUUGUUGUAAUAGUUUAGCUAAUAAAUUAGAUCAAGGUGCAGCUUAUGGUAGAGUAGAGAUGGGUUACAAUAUGACGAGUGUAAACGGAGUAAUAAAUGAAAAUUUAUCAUGAAGGUGGAUUUAAAAGUAAGAGGACUUCAAUAAGGUAGUCUGACUUUAGCUCUAGGUUAUGUACACAUCGCCCGUCGCUCUCGUUAAUUAAAGC
rnacentral:rRNA from 1 species